rnacentral:rRNA from 1 species
ACUCCUACGGGAGGCAGCAGUGGGGAAUCUUGCGCAAUGGGCGAAAGCCUGACGCAGCCAUGCCGCGUGAAUGAUGAAGGUCUUAGGAUUGUAAAAUUCUUUCACCGGGGACGAUAAUGACGGUACCCGGAGAAGAACGCCCCGGCUAACUUCGUGCCAGCAGCCGCGGUAAAUACGAAGGGGGCUAGCGUUGCUCGGAAUUACUGGGCGUAAAGGGAGCGUAGGCGGACAUUUAAGUCAGGGGUGAAAUCCCGGGGCUCAACCUCGGAAUUGCCUUUGAUACUGGGUGUCUUGAGUGUGAGAGAGGUAUGUGGAACUCCGAGUGUAGAGGUGAAAUUCGUAGAUAUUCGGAAGAACACCAGUGGCGAAGGCGACAUACUGGCUCAUUACUGACGCUGAGGCUCGAAAGCGUGGGGAGCAAACAGGAUUAGAUACCCGUGGUAGCGACUGA